AGAUUGAACGCUGGCGGCAUGCCUAACACAUGCAAGUCGAGCGGCAGCGCGGGGGGCGACCCUGGCGGCGAGCGGCGGACGGGUGAGUAAUGCGUAGGAAUCUGUCUUUUAGUGGGGGACAACCCAGGGAAACUUGGGCUAAUACCGCAUGAGCCCUGAGGGGGAAAGCGGGGGAUCUUCGGACCUCGCGCUAAGAGAAGACCGCCUACGUCUGAUUAGCUAGUUGGUAGGGUAAAGGCCUACCAAGGCGACGAUCAGUAGCUGGUCUGAGAGGACGACCAGCCACACUGGGACUGAGACACGGCCCAGACUCCUACGGAGGCAGC
rnacentral:rRNA from 1 species